GCUGUUUCUGCCGCCGAAACUCCUUCUGCUGCGGUUGCUGUUGCUGAACAAGAUGACACUUCUCUCUCUCCUCCGCCUCAGAACCUCUUCGUGUUCCUCUCAAUCGAAGAACGAAGGUUUCGUAGUGUGCAGUCAUGGGUUGAAGCUUCCUCUCCUCUUCGCGUUCCUCUCAAUCGAAUCGAAGGUUUCCAUAGCAAAGCUCAGCCAUGGAUUGAAUUGCGAUUUGCCUUUCUUCUCCACCAGAUUUGGAUCGAAGAACUCCAUUUUCUCCGUAUCUCCGUGUUCGCCUCGCCCUUCUUCUUCUACGAUUCGCGAUUCCUGCACACUGGUGCGAAUCUUCCAAUGACAAUCGAAUCAGUUUUGUGUUUGUGAUCCACUACUCAAGCUUUUAUUCACAGCCUUGAUCUUAAGCAUGAGAUGCAUAUAUCUCCGAAUGCAUCUUUUCCAGAGGAAAGCCCAAGGACAAGGGACCUGUGAGUUUGCAGGAACUGCCACUGCUAUUACAUCUGAUCAUUUUCCACUUGUUGUGUGGCAAACUGGCAGUGGCACGCAGAGUAACAUGAAUGCUAUUGAGAUCUGAUCUAAGCCUUUCCUGAGGUUUCAAGGAUAUCAGUUUCACUCACCGUAGCAGUCCAUUGGGUAAGAAAAUGAAUAAGAGAGGAAGCCUAUUAUUAUUGACCCAAGCCAUUAAGAAAUGCAAUUGAGAGUCUAGAGCUAACUGGUCGCUAGGUUGAGGCUUUGAGCAAGCUCAGGCAUAAAUUAGAAGAUGUGGCAUUCCCGGUGUGCUCUCUCUCUCUCUCUCUCUCUCUCUCUCUCUCUCUCCUAUUUUAAUUCUAAUUCUAAGAUUUGCAGAUAUAUGAAGAACUCUUCAUAUAAUCAUGCUGAUGUGGUUUUUGAAUUGGAUAUUAUGAUGAAAAGAAGACCUAUUUCUUUAAUAGCAUAUUUACUACAAGUUCAACAAUGGGAGUCAAGUAAGUUUUGUAUUUGGGAUUUGUAUCUAAUUCCUUUUGUACAUCAUUUUCUCAAAAUGUUAAAAGCUUACAAACCAUUUUUUUAUAUACUUC